rnacentral:rRNA from 1 species
UACGUAGGGUGCAAGCGUUAAUCGGAAUUACUGGGCGUAAAGCGUGCGCAGGCGGUUUUGUAAGUCUGUCGUGAAAUCCCCGGGCUCAACCUGGGAAUUGCGAUGGAGACUGCAAGGCUAGAAUCUGGCAGAGGGGGGUAGAAUUCCACGUGUAGCAGUGAAAUGCGUAGAGAUCGGAAAGAACACCAACGGCGGAAAGCACUCUGCUGGGCCGACACUGACACUGGAGAGACGAAAGCUAGGGGAGCGAAUGGG